rnacentral:rRNA from 1 species
AGUGAACGCUGGCGGUAGGCCUAACACAUGCAAGUCGAACGGCAGCACAGUAAGAGCUUGCUCUUACGGGUGGCGAGUGGCGGACGGGUGAGGAAUACAUCGGAAUCUACUUUUUCGUGGGGGAUAACGUAGGGAAACUUACGCUAAUACCGCAUACGGCCUACGGGUGAAAGCAGGGGAUCUUCGGACUUUGCGCGAUUGAAUGAGCCGAUGUCGGAUUAGCUAGUUGGCGGGGUAAAGGCCCACCAAGGCGACGAUCCGUAGCUGGUCUGAGAGGAUGAUCAGCCACACUGGAACUGAGACACGGUCCAGACUCCUACGGGAGGCAGCAGUGGGUAAUAUUGGACAAUGGGCGCAAGCCUGAUCCAGCCAUACCGCGUGGGUGAAGAAGGCCUUCGGGUUGUAAAGCCCUUUUGUUGGGAAAGAAAAGCAGCAGGUUAAUACCCCGCUGUUCUGACGGUACCCAAAGAAUAAGCACCGGCUAACUUCGUG